rnacentral:rRNA from 1 species
UACAGAGGUCCCAAGCGUUGUUCGGAUUUACUGGGCGUAAAGGGAGCGUAGGUGGCAUUCCAAGUCUGAUGUGAAAGCUCUGAGCUUAACUCAGAAAUGGCAUUAGAUACUGGUUUGCUUGAGGAUUGGAGGGGAGAUUGGAAUUCUUGGUGUAGCAGUGAAAUGCGUAGAUAUCAAGAGGAACACCAGUGGCGAAGGCGAAUCUCUGGACAAUUCCUGACACUGAUGCUCGAAAGCUAGGGGAGCAAAC